AGUGAACGCUGGCGGUAGGCCUAACACAUGCAAGUCGAACGGCAGCACAGUAAGAGCUUGCUCUUACGGGUGGCGAGUGGCGGACGGGUGAGGAAUACAUCGGAAUCUACUUUUUCGUGGGGGAUAACGUAGGGAAACUUACGCUAAUACCGCAUACGACCUACGGGUGAAAGCAGGGGAUCUUCGGACCUUGCGCGAUUGAAUGAGCCGAUGUCGGAUUAGCUAGUUGGCGGGGUAAAGGCCCACCAAGGCGACGAUCCGUAGCUGGUCUGAGAGGAUGAACAGCCAAAAUGGAAAUGAGAAACGGACAAGGAUACUAAGGGAGGCAGCAGUGGGGAAUAAUGGAAAAAGGGGGGAAGGCUGAACCAACCAAACCGGGGGGGUGAAGAAGGCCUUCGGGUUGUAAAGCCCUUUUGUUGGGAAAAAAAAAAAAGAGGGUAAAAACCCGGGGGUCUGAAGGUAACCAAAGAAAAAGGACCGGGUAAAUUCG
rnacentral:rRNA from 1 species